rnacentral:piRNA from 1 species
UGAUUUUGUUUUAAAGGGUCCGAGAGU